rnacentral:rRNA from 1 species
GAGACAGCAGUAGCCGCGGUAAUACAGAGGGUGCGAGCGUUAAUCGGAUUUACUGGGCGUAAAGCGUGCGUAGGCGGCUUCUUAAGUCGGAUGUGAAAUCCCUGAGCUUAACUUAGGAAUUGCAUUCGAUACUGGGAAGCUAGAGUAUGGGAGAGGAUGGUAGAAUUCCAGGUGUAGCGGUGAAAUGCGUAGAGAUCUGGAGGAAUACCGAUGGCGAAGGCAGCCAUCUGGCCUAAUACUGACGCUGAGGUACGAAAGCAUGGGGAGCAAACAGGAUUAGAUACCCGCGUAGUCCCUGUCUCUUAUAC